rnacentral:rRNA from 1 species
GACGAACGCUGGCGGCGUGCCUAAUACAUGCAAGUCGAGCGAAUCGAUGGGAGCUUGCUCCCUGAGAUUAGCGGCGGACGGGUGAGUAACACGUGGGUAACCUGCCUGUAAGACUGGGAUAACUUCGGGAAACCGGAGCUAAUACCGGAUACUUUCUUUUCUCGCAUGAGGAGAGAUGGAAAGAUGGUUCUGCUAUCACUUACAGAUGGACCCGCGGCGCAUUAGCUAGUUGGUGAGGUAACGGCUCACCAAGGCGACGAUGCGUAGCCGACCUGAGAGGGUGAUCGGCCACACUGGGACUGAGACACGGCCCAGACUCCUACGGGAGGCAGCAGUAGGGAAUCUUCCGCAAUGGACGAAAGUCUGACGGAGCAACGCCGCGUGAGCGAAGAAGGCCUUCGGGUCGUAAAGCUCUGUUGUUAGGGAAGAACAAGUACGAGAGUAACUGCUCGUACCUUGACGGUACCUAACCAGAAAGCCACGGCUAACUACGUGCCAGCCGCCGCCGUAAGAC